CGCUUAUGGGAUUUGUAGUCAAUAAGUAGUUGUGAUUGCUGAAUCGGAUCGGGCGUUGGACUUCAUUUCCCGAAAAAGCCAUUGUCGAAACGCCAUGCGGUACCGUCUGAAACUUGUAAAUAUUUCCACACAACAACUGCGCGACCGAAAGCUUGUCUGCAGCCCAACAAGCUGAUCAGGGUAGCACUGUGGCUGUCUAACAGAUGGGCUGACCAUGCAGGAAGUCCCCAGAUGGAGGCGCUGUUGACAUGAAGACAGUCAGACCUCAGAAGUAGAAACUGAAGGGACGAACCGGGAUUCGAACCCUGAAGCUCAGCGUUCCGAGCAUUGGACAAUACCUUUACGCCACCGUCGUGUUAGCGGUUGCGCGGCUGCAGAAGUGGCCUGAUGAUGAGACAACCCAAGUAUAAGUGAAACAAAGACAAAGGGGGGUUUGAACCCCCAACCUCUGGGUCCGUAGGCAAAGACAAUACCGUUGCGCCACCUUCUCUUUUGUGAAUCGGCCAGCUGUUUUGUGGGUAGAAGAAGAUGACAACAGAAAUAUUUCCCAAAAAAAAAAAAAAAAAAAAAAGCUGGAACCCCCCGGCCGUGGCUGGCUCAAAUCUGCUGGGCAUGAUGCAGUGAAUGGAAGCUGAUGAGAAACGCCACCGUUAAUAAAAUUAUGCGGGACUUGAACCCUCGAGCUUCUGGUCCAGAGACCAAGUCACUAACCACUACACCACAGUGGUUUUGUUGUUUUGAAGGCUGAUUCAGUGGAUAUAAGACUUUGAUAUCACAGAAACUUUGCCUUCAUCUACUAACUUCGGACCUGAAGGCGAUGAACCUUGUUACCUAUGUCUUACAGCCGGUUCUUAGAGCCACAGCAGAGCGGUGAGGUAGGGGAAGCGCCAGACAGAACAGAAGGGGGAUUGAACUUGCUACCUUGGGCUUUGUGGAACAGGGUACUCUGUCUUGCACCAUGAAGCCCCUCAAGAGUUCCUGGGUGCUCAUUAGUGAAAUUCUCAGACCUAUCAUAAAUAAACAGGAAGAGCUCAGCUUUGAAUCACACAGAUCCAGAUUAGGUGCUGUCCUGAAAUGAACUCUAAGAAACUGCGGCAAAAUAUAAACUGACACCCUAACAUAUUUUGGCUUCUUUAAAUAAAGCUUUUGAUUCAUUGAAGGAAUUCCUUUGCAUUUGUGAUUUAUAAUUAGAACAACAGGUGACUGACAAGUCCCGUUCAAACAGAUGACCUAAUUAAAGGUGUAAUGUUGUUGCAUCUUAUAGGUGUGCCUGAAAGUAAUUAGUUGGUUACAUUUUUUAUGCCUUUGAAUGUUUUCUUUCACAAGGAUGAAAAAUGAGAUUUAAUCUAGCCAGUAAUGUACUAUGGAGAACACUCAUAUUCUGUUUUUAUAAACUGCAGUGGAUAUGUAUUGGGGACAGGGCUUGUAAAUGCAUUUUAUUUUCUUUUAAAUAAUGAAAUAAAAUUAAUUGUGUUUUGGAAUUUUAUUCUGCAAUUCCAUUUCAGUCUUGAAAGUUGUGCUUCCAUUGCUGAAUAAAAAUAAUGCACAAUAAGAACAGUGA